rnacentral:rRNA from 1 species
GAUGAACGCUGGCGGCGUGCUUAACACAUGCAAGUCGAACGGAAAGGCUCCUGCUUGCAGGGGUACUCGAGUGGCGAACGGGUGAGUAACACGUGGGUGAUCUGCCCUGCACUUCGGGAUAAGCCUGGGAAACUGGGUCUAAUACCGGAUAGGACGAUGGUUUGGAUGCCAUUGUGGAAAGUUUUUUCGGUGUGGGAUGAGCUCGCGGCCUAUCAGCUUGUUGGUGGGGUAAUGGCCUACCAAGGCGUCGACGGGUAGCCGGCCUGAGAGGGUGUACGGCCACAUUGGGACUGAGAUACGGCCCAGACUCCUACGGGAGGCAGCAGUGGGGAAUAUUGCACAAUGGGCGCAAGACUGAUGCAGCGACGCCGAGUGGGGGAUGAAGGCCUUCGGGUUGUAAACUCCUUUCGCUAGGGACGAAGCGCAAGUGACGGUACCUGGAGAAGAAGCACCGGCUAACUACGUG